UCGAUUUCAUGCUUAUUUAAUUUAGCUAAUUUCAUAGCCGAUUAAUCACCUUACCCCAACAUUACUCAAUGCCGAAUAUUAACCCAACAUCACAAGCAUAAUCACCAUGAAACUUACCUUGAUACACAUUUUAUCCCAUUGCCGAAUACAUAUAUAUAUAUCACCAAACAAAUUUUUAUUCACAUCUCUAUAAUUGAUCAUAAUCAGACAUUAUAAACAAAUCAACUAGUUUAGCAUUCAAAUUCUUCUAAUCAUUCCUCAAUCACUUACUCAAUGAACAAUAAUCCAAGCACAUCAAAGCAUAGUCGAAUGUAUCAUUCUUCUUAAAUUC
rnacentral:lncRNA from 1 species